GAGGCCGUAUGUUUUGGAUAAGGGAUGGGGCGAUGGGCAGAAUAGUCUUUUUUCCUUUAUUUUUUCCAAACAUUUUUUUGUUGGUCCAUUAUUAACCAGCAGCUAACGAAGUUGAAAAACAGGGACAAACAUGCAGUUAGAGUUGAAAGUGAGAGUAGUAAUGCAAUUGUCCCAUUUUAUUUUCAUGAACAGUGAGUAUUUAUAGGUCUUUAACUCCGUUAUUCCUAUACAAAAGACUAAAAUACCCCUAACUAGAUUGAACACAAGUACA
rnacentral:lncRNA from 1 species